CUCUGGUGGUGCUGAGCAGAGAUCAUGUAGGGAGCCUGAAUUUCUACCUCAACUUGACAGUAAUGAUACACCCAUCCCUUCUCUACUAGGGUGAUAUUAGGGAGACCUAGUAGAGAGUUAGUAGAUUUCUCAUCAGAAACCAUGGAAGCCAGAUGGAAGAAGCACAACAUAUUUCAGAUGCUGAAAGAAAACAGUUGUUAACCCUGAACACAAUAUUCAGUGAAAAUAUCUUCUAGGAAUGAAGGGGAAAUCAGAUGAAGGAAAAUGAAGAGAGUUACCCUAAAAUAAUCACUAAAAGAAGUUCUAUAGACUGAAUGAAAAUAAUGAACCUUGGAACAUAGGAUGGAAGAAGAAACGCAGUAAACAAAAAUAUGGGGCCAAGAAUGCUAAUUCUGACACAACUUAGCAAUGCUUUUAUUUGGACUGGCGAGAGGAUAUCGUUCUGACCAGCAGAAGAAAGCAAAGACAGUGUGAAGGGUCAUCAGUUUUCAAUGAUGAAAACUGUUCAUUGAAGAUAAACACCUUACUCAAGGAUGGGCAGCUACUGAAAGAUACAGCCAGAGUUGGAAAACUCCAAGAACCUGGACACUCUCCACAGCUCCCGUCUAGCAUAUGGCAAACAUUUGAAAUGGAUCAGCUAUUGUUUUAGGGUACUUCUUCCAGCCUGCAACGCUUCUGAAGUAUACUUUCAAGUAGAGAUUCAAUAGAGCCAUUUAGAGUAGUCGUUACUGCAGAUUAAA
rnacentral:lncRNA from 13 species